GAUGAACGCUGGCGGCGUGCCUAAUACAUGUAAGUCGAACGGAAGAUGUAGUAAUACGUCUUUAGUGGCGAACGGGUGAGUAACGCGUUGGUGACCUGCCCCGAAGAGAGGGAUAACAGACCGAAAGGUUUGCUAAUACCGCGUAAUUUCCUUCUAGUUAGAGAGGAGGGAAGAAAGGCCGAAAGGCGCUUUGGGAGGGGCCUGCGUCCCAUCAGCUAGUUGGCGAGGUAAAAGCUCACCAAGGCGAUGACGGGUAGGGGACCUGAGAGGGUGACCCCCCACAAUGGAACUGAAACACGGUCCAUACACCUACGGGUGGCUG
rnacentral:rRNA from 1 species